GCCAGACUCCUACGGGAGGCAGCAGUGGGGAAUAUUGCACAAUGGGGGAAACCCUGAUGCAGCGACGCCGCGUGAAGGAAGAAGUAUUUCGGUAUGUAAACUUCUAUCAGCAGGGAAGAAAAUGACGGUACCUGACUAAGAAGCCCCGGCUAACUACGUGCCAGCAGCCGCGGUAAUACGUAGGGGGCAAGCGUUAUCCGGAUUUACUGGGUGUAAAGGGAGCGUAGGCGGUUUAGCAAGUCAGAAGUGAAAGCCCGGGGCUCAACCUGUGGCCUGCAUUUGAAACUGUGUUUCUUGAGUACUGGAGAGGCAGACGGAAUUCCUAGUGUAGCGGUGAAAUGCGUAGAUAUUAGGAGGAACACCAGUGGCGAAGGCGGUCUGCUGGACAGCAACUGACGCUGAGGCGCGAAAGCGUGGGGAGCAAACAGGAUUAGAUACCCCGGUAACU
rnacentral:rRNA from 1 species